rnacentral:pre_miRNA from 1 species
UGUAAACAUCCUUGACUGGAAGCUGUAAGGUACUGGAAGAAGCUUUCAGUCGGAUGUUUACA